CUGUGAGUUGCUGCCCACCCCUGUAAUAGAGGACUGUGAGUUACUGCCCACCCCUGUAAUAGAGGACUGUGAGUUACUGCCCACCCCUGUAAUAGAGGACUGUGAGUUGCUGCCCACCCCUGUAAUAGAGGACUGUGAGUUGCCGCCCACCCCUGUAAUAGAGGACCAGCUAUUAUCUACUCCAGGUGAGGGGAAGGUCGACAAGAGGAGGGGACCCGUUUGAGCUCUUGAACUCUUGAACUGUGAACUUUAACCCCGCCCCCCCUCCUCUCUGUCCCCCGUUAAGGCCACUCAGGGGGAGGGUUUGUGUGGUUUCGGCAGUACCAGGAAGCUCUGAGGAGCUUCCACUCUUUCCUCUGGGUUUUAUUUUCUAUACCAGUUCUUAGGGUUGUAAAAUUCCCAAGUUUCCCCAGAAAUCUUGGUUGGGUUGGGCUUCCGGAUUUCCUCUUGAUUCCAGGAAUCUUCCAACUAGGAUUUCUGGAAACCGUGAGAAUGUGCGUGUGGGGGGAAGUUAACCAGAAUUUUACAACCCUUACCUGUUAUAUUUAACUGAACAGGUAGACCCAACCCUGCCUUAACUCCUAGUCUGGGAUCAGUUUUGCCUUCAGCCCUCUAUUGGUGAAGGUAAGGGAGGGCAGUCACAAGACCUUAGGGGUUGAACAAAUCUGGAAACUUUCCCCCCAAAAUUCCCAGAAUUUUGGGGAUUUUCUAGGAUUUCUGUGAAAGUGGAGAUUUCAUGGGAAAGUUUACAGGAGGAAUAUUUCAAACCCGAGGACAGCUGAUCUUAGAUUUUGUGGUUAGGAGGUUAACUUUAACCUGGAGUAAUAUUUAACUCUUAGAUGGUAUAUGUUAUAUAAUUGGUGCUUCCUUCUUCUCUUUUACUUCUUCAUACCAGUCUGUCACUUCCUGUCCUUCUCAUCUUUUACUCCUUAAUACCAGUCUGUCACUUCCUGUUCUUCUCAUCUUUUACUUCUUCAUACCAGUCUGUCACUUCCUGUCCUUCUUCUCUUUCCCACUCCCUACCAGUCUGUCACUUCCUGUUCUUCUCAUCUUUCUCACCUGAAACUCUUUAAAAAAAAAGUAUGUUGUCUGUACAUCUACCUGCCCUCACCCCCAUCCCUCACCCCUCCUCACCCUCUGUCCCUCCUACCUCAUCACUCCUCACCCCUUUCCCCCAUCUCUGUCCCUCCUACCUCACCCCUCCUCACCCUCUGUCCCUCCUACCUCACCCCUCCUCACCUCUUUCCUCUAUCUCUGUCCCUCCUCCCUCACCCCUCCUCACCCUCUGUCCCUCCUCACCCCUUUCCUCUAUCUCUGUCCUGCCUCCCUCACCCCUCCUCACCCUCUGUCCCUCCUCCUCACCCCUCUCACCCUCUGUCCCUUCUACCUCAACCCUCCUCACCCUCUGUCCCUCCUACCUCACCCCUCCUCACCCCUUUCCUCUAUCUCUGUCCCUCCUCCCUCACCCCUCCUCACCCUCUGUCCCUCCUACAUCAAUUCUGUCCCUCCUCCCUCACCCCUCCUCACCCUCUGUCCCUCCUACCUCACCCCUCCUCACCCUCUGUCCCUCCUCACCCCUUUCCUCUAUCUCUGUCCCUCCUCCCUCACCCCUCCUCCCCCAUUCCAAGAGCUUUGUGUAAACAAGGUCCUUACUGCCCUUCACUGUCACCUGUAGAGUAGAACUUAGGUUUUGACGUGUUUUAAAGACAAUGUGUUAUAAUGUAAUGUUAUAAUGUUGGCUCAACGUGGGAAACCUGGAGAGAUGUGCAUGAAUAGAAGGAAGGCUGUAUUUGUAGAGUAUUGGAAUGGGGCCCGUGGGAAGGAAGGAUGUAUUUGUAGAGUAUUGGAAUGGGGCCCGUGGGAAGGAAGGAUGUAUUUGUAAAGUAUUGGAAUGGGGCCCGUGGGAAGGAAGGAUGUAUUUGUAGAGUAUUGGAAUGGGGCCCGUGGGAAGGAAGGAUGUAUUUGUAGAGUAUUGGAAUGGGGCCCGUGGGAAGGAAGGAUGUAUUUGUAGAGUAUUGGAAUGGGGCCCGUGGGAAGGAAGGAUGUAUUUGUAGAGUAUUGGAAUGGGGCCCGUGGGAAGGAAGGAUGUAUUUGUAAAGUAUUGGAAUGGGGCCCGUGGGAAGGAAGGAUGUAUUUGUAGAGUAUUGGAAUGGGGCCCGUGGGAAGGAAGGAUGUAUUUGUAGAGUAUUGGAAUGGGACCCGUGGGAAGGAAGGAUGUAUUUGUAGAGUAUUGGAAUGGGGCCCGUGGGAAGGAAGGAUGUAUUUGUAGAGUAUUGGAAUGGGACCCGUGGGAAGGAAGGAUGUAUUUGUAGAGUAUUGGAAUGGGGCCCUUGAGUUAUUCACAGAAAUUAUCUUCUCAGCUGUAACUCCUCCUCUCUCUCCCCCCUCCUCUCUCUCCCCCCCACUUUCUCUCUAUCCAUCCCCCUCUCUCCCCCCUCCUCUCUCUUUCUCGCUCUCUCUCCCCCUCCUCUCUUUCCCCUCUCUCCCCCCUCCUCUCUCUCCCCUCCUCUCUCUCUC
rnacentral:lncRNA from 1 species